UCUCCGUAGGUGAACCUGCGGAGGGAUCAUUACAGAGUUCAUGCCCUACCGGGUAGAUCUCCCACCCUAUGUUAUUAUUACUUUGUUGCUUUGGCGGGCCGUUAGGCCCCGGCCCGACUACCGGCCCCGGCUGGUAAGCGCCCGCCAGAGGACCCAAAACCCUGAACAUUAGUGUCGUCUGAGUACUAUAUAAUAGUUAAAACUUUCAACAACGGAUCUCUUGGUUCUG
rnacentral:misc_RNA from 1 species